UGGGGAGAGACCCUGCGGAGAAGGAGGACUGAUGGCAGAGGGCAGGACUGGAGAUGGUUUUGAUGAUAGUUAUUUUAAUCUAACCGUGCCCCGGACUCUUCACUUCCCAUAGAUGAUCCUUCCCUGCAAGCGCCUGCUGAUGUUCCACCCUCUGUUUCUCUGCCUCUUCCCCACCCCACCUGCCGUUGCAGAGUCACCGCCACGAGGACAGGACCAUGUACCUCUUGUUGACAACGCUCCACAGAUAAUCAGAGUGGGGCCAUGUGCUUUCCAAAGCUAUCCCAACAAAGCCCUUGCAGCUCUGCUUCAGUGUCCUGGAACACCUGCUUCCAGAGAUGGAAGAUGUCCUUCUACCUUGAGGCCAACCUGUUGGAGAGGCCACACGUGCCCUGAUCGAUGCUGCUAGCACAGCCCAGCCUUCCAGCCAUCCCUGUUGACUUGUGAAUGACAUCACUUGGGCGCUCAGGAACAGCCCUUCCGAUAGCUGAAUACCUCCAAGGAAACUCUGUCCAUGCCAAGUGGAUGAGCCUUGCUGCCUUCUGGGCCGACAAAAUUGCACGAUAAAAUUAAAUGGUUGUUGUAAGCUGGUAAAUUUUGUGAUUAUUUGUUACACAACAGUAGAUCAUUUGAGCCCUGCUUUCUAUGUGCAUCAAAUCUAGAAGUUGCUUUUUCUUUUUAAUUUUUAACUCCAAUGGCCACAAAAACACAAUUAGUAUCUCCCAUAAAACAAGAAACAUAUUAAUUCCAAGAACUU